rnacentral:rRNA from 1 species
UCAACGGAGAGUUUGAUCCUGGCUCAGGACGAACGCUGGCGGUGUGCCUCAAACAUGCAAGUCGAGGGAGGGUUGGCGCCUAGCCAACUGGGCGUUUCAACUCUACCGGCGAACGGGUGAGUAACACGUGGGUAACCUGCCCUGAAGACGGGGACAACCUCGGGAAACCGGGGCUAAUACCCGAUAUCCUCCCCGGGGGGCAUCCUCUGGGGAGGAAAGAUCGCAAGAUCGCUUUAGGAUGGGCCCGCGGCCUAUCAGCUAGUUGGUGGGGUAACGGCCUACCAAGGCGAUGACGGGUAGCUGGUCUGAGAGGACGAUCAGCCACACUGGGACUGAGACACGGCCCAGACUCCUACGGGAGGCAGCAGUUGGGAAUCUUGGGCAAUGGGCGCAAGCCUGACCCAGCGACACCGCGUGGGGGACGAAGGCCUUCGGGUUGUAAACCCCUGUCAGGAGGGACGAAGCCGCAAGGUGACGGUACCUCCAGAGGAAGCCCCGGCUAACUACGUGCCAGCAGCCGCGGUAAGACGUAGGGGGCGAGCGUUGUCCGGAAUUACUGGGCGUAAAGCGCGUGCAGGCGGUCCGCUAAGUCUCGUGUGAAAUCCUCCGGCCCAACCGGAGAACGCCGCGGGAUACUGGCGGGCUUGAGGGCGGUAGAGGGUGAUGGAAUUCCCGGUGUAGCGGUGAAAUG